rnacentral:pre_miRNA from 1 species
UUAACUCAAAUUUAUAUGAAGUUGGAACGUUUGGCUACGUUUGCCGCUAAGGACGCUGUUCCAACUGCAUACAAAUUUGAGUUA